CGGCAAUAGCUCAAAUUUGAAAUCUGGCUCUUUGAGUCCGAGUUGUAAUUUGUAGAGGAUGUUUCGGGCAAGGUUGUGGUUUAAAUUCCUUGGAACAGGAUGUCAUAGAGGGUGAGAAUCCCGUCUUGAGCCAUAUACCGCGUCCAUGUGAAACUCCUUCGAC
rnacentral:rRNA from 1 species